rnacentral:lncRNA from 1 species
AUAGUUUUACAUUCUUUGAGUCUAGUUUAGUGUUGUAAACUUUAUUUUUACGUUUUUGAGUCAGUUUUCAAGUGAUUUAGCAAUCCCUCCUAAUCCCCGGCCUAGAACGAUCCCUACUUACAUACUUACUACAAUUGAUAAAAAAAGGGUUAAUUUGAGUGCUAGUUAAUAUCAUAUCAAAGCACACGAAUCACAUUGGAUAGUAGACAGGAAUAAACUAUCAAACCAAACAAUGUGGUCAAGAGUAUUGUAUUAGACAAAGACCGUAUUGCAUUUGUAAUCCUAAACUGAAUAGGUUCUCCACCUCUUCUGAUUAGCUUGGGUAACCAUGAUAUGCUACUAAGUGUCACUCAUGGUUUGUGGAAGCCCUAAACGUGUAUAAUCACUAAAGGGAGAAUUGAAAGUAAGUUUCAAUUCACAAUCGAUUUGAAAUGGUUUUAAUCGCCCACUGCCUCGCUAAAAGGAACCUAAUGGAUCGUACACCGUGUAAGGCAGAGAUUGAAGAAACAAUGGAGAUGAGUAAGAAUAAUUAAAUGGUUUAAUUAUUUAUGGCAAGGAUUAAUUAAUAUGUUAAUUAAUCAAACGAAUCAAGUUCAUUAAAAGACCACGGGUUAGUUUUGGGCCUCAAGGCCCAAUGAGCUUCGAACGUCAAGCCCAUUGACUUAAGUUGUAUGACAACUUAAUGACAAAUAAUUCACAAAGGCUUUAAAAGCCCAAUGAAACCCUUUGGCCAGCCAUUUAGAGAUGGAGUGGGUUUUGGACUUAUUUACAAGUUUGCCACUCCAAUGAAUUAAGGUAUAAAUAUGACUUUAUAGCCAAAAUUCAUUAAGGGUUUCUUUUAGGAAAUUGGAGAGAACACAAAGCUCUCCUUUCUCUCUAAAGAGGCUGGCCCCCUUGGAGGGAUUAGCUAGUAAUCUUUCUCCUCCAAGGUCACUCAUUUCUUCAUCAAUCUUACCUUGGUGUGGAGACUUAGAGGUUCUCAAUUUUGGGAACUUGGAGAACCAUUUCAUCCAUCCAAAUCCAUAUAUCUAAGAUGCAAGGAAUGAAGGCCCUCUCUUUGGGUGAUUAGCCUUUGCUUAUGCAAAGAGGAAUCUACAAAGGUAUAAUUUCUCAACUCACUUUGAUUUGAGUUGAGUCUUGGUUCACCAAUCUACUAGGCUUUGAAUUUCAUGGUUAAUGUUUUGUUUUUAAGUGCAUGCAAGCAUGAUUCCGCCUUUAAUUGUUAAUUGCAUGCUUAUAGAUGUUGCUUAAAUGAACAUGUUUUUCAUAAAUCUUCCUUCAACUUCUCCUAAGACAAUUACAUUAACAAAAUCCCCUCCCAAAGCUCAAGGCUCAACUUAGGUAUACAAGCUCUUUCAUUAGUUUAGUUAUAGACCAACCCAUUAACUUGCCCGUAGUGAGCAAAGCGGUCAUUCCUUGGCCUCCCAAGGCUUUUCCAGUCCUAGGGUGAAGGAUUAUUUUGUGAAAACAAGUUCAUUUAAGCAACAUCAAUAAGCAUGCAAUUAACAAUUAAAGGCGGAAUCAUGCUUGCAUGCACUUAAAAACAAAACUUUAACCAAGAAAUUCAAAGCCUAGUAGAUUGGUGAACCAAAACUCAACUCAAAACAAAGUGAGUUGAAAUUGUACCUUUGUAGAUUCCUCUUUGCAUAAGCAAAGGCUAAUCACCCAAAGAGAGGGCCUUCAUUCCUUGCAUAAUAAAUCUAUGGAUUUGGAUGGAUGAAUAGGUUUCUCCAAGUUCCCAAAAUAGGGAACCUCUAAGUCUCUUCACCAAGGAGAGAUUGGAGAAGAAAUGAGUGACCUUGGAGUAGUGGGAUUGCAAGAUGCACCCCAAAGGUGGCCGGCCUCUUUAGAGAGAAAUGGAGAGACAUGUUCUCUCCAAUUUUCUCCAAAAACAAACCCUUAAUGAAUUUUAGGCUAUAAAGUCAUAUUUAUACCUUUAUUCAUUUGAGUGGCAAACUUGUAAAUAAGUCCAAGUUCACUACUCUUAGCAUCAUGGCCGGCCAUUAGGAUAUUUUAGACUAAUUGGGCCUUUGUGAAUCAUUAUUCAUUAAGUUGUCAUACAACUUAAGUUAAUGUGCUUGACGUUCGAAGCCCAUUGGGCCUUAAGGUCCAAAACUAUCCCGAGGUCUUUAACGAACUUAUUCGUUUGAUUAAUUAACAUAUUAAUUAAUCCUGACCAUAAAUAAAUGAUUAAACCAUUUAAUCAUUCUUACUCAUCUCCAUUGUUUCUUCAAUCUCCACCUUACAUGGUGUGCGAUCCAUUAGGUUCCUUUUAGCGAGGCAGUGGGCGAUUAAAACCAUUUUAUAUCGAUUGUGAAUUGAAACAUACUUUCAAUUCUCCCUUUAGUGAUUACACACGUUUAGGGCUUCCACAAACCAUGAGUGACACCUUGCAGCAUAUCAUGGUUACCCAAGCUAAUCAGAAGAGGUAGAGAAAACCUAUUCAGUUUGGGAUUACAAAUGCAAUACGGUCUUUCUCUAAUACAAUACUCUUGACCACAUUGUUUGGUUUGAUAGUUUAUUUAUUCAUGUCUACUAUCCAAUGUGAUUCAUGUGCUUAUAUGAUUACCUUGAAUGUGAUUUGGAACGCAUUCCUAAAUCUCAUUCAUACUCUGGCCAGAGAUUCUAAAUCAUAUCAUAGAGUAUUCUCCCUCAAACAGUUUGAAGGUUAGAGAUCCCUUGUUGCGCAUUCACUUGCCUCCAUGACUAAGUGGCUUGACCCCAACGAUGUCGUGGGCACCCCGAGGGGGUGACUUUGACAUAAUCAAAGAUCAAGGACUUAACCACAAGACAACUGUGAUGACUCAGGUCAAAGGACUACUUUGCAUUAUCCCAACCAUGAGUUCUCAUGUGAUAUGAGUAUGAGAACUCUUCGCGUUCAGUGAACUCAUUCUCUACUGAGCACCUACGUACUUGUCUUGAUGUCACACACACCAAUGACUCGAGACUAGUCACUCUCCCUGAGAAAAGACAUAGCACAUACCGAUCUUGACGGACUGUCAAUGCCCAAUUGACAAUCCUAUGAUCAGGAACUUUUAGGAUGUGUCUACGAAAGAAUGGUCUCAUGAAUCUAACUUCAUUAGAUUGCAUUCUCCCAAUCACAUAUUCCUUGGACUUUAUCGUUUAAGCAUAUAACAUUUAUAUGAGACGGCUCAAACAAUAAUCUUUGCCCUUUAUAUUAAACUAGAUUAGUUUAACAUGUGAAAUGUCCGUAAAGUAUCAUCACAUGAUUGGUUUUAGGGCACAUUUCCAACAUAGGGAUCCCCAUCCCUCAGCCUAGAAAAGCUAUUACUGCUGUUUCAGAGUCUUUCCCCUCUAUUUAUAUUGAAGCUGCCAUUGCUAUUGGUACCUCUGGGGUGCUGGAGUAAUGUCUCCCCCUCUAGCAUUUAUUCUAACCAUGGCCUCCUUGCCCAAACUAGUUAAAGAGUUUGGGAAAAUCGAGAUAAAUCUGAGGUCUCCAAAGCUUACCUCCACGCCUCAAUAUCUUCAAGAUCGGUGAAGAGUCUUCAAAGAAUGGAUGCAGAAGGAUUUCACGGCCUCCUUUAACCUCAAGGCACUUCAGGAUGUUGAGAAAGUCCUCACUGAAUUGUACAAGGCUCAACAGAUAUCAAAGGUUAAAUAUGAGUCAUUUCUUUCUUUCUUCGAGAAUUUGAGAGCUCUAUGGGACCAACAUCUUCGUGCAUAAAGGUAAGCAAAUAGAGUGAAGUGUUAUAAGGAAAAGCACUCUAUAACUUCCAGCUCCUUGUAGAAGUUAGUAGAAGAGGGCUCAGCCAUGGACGAUCGCAUCGUGGUGGUUGCUGCUGAGAUCCAAAAGUUGGAGGAGUAACUUUUUAUGCUGAAGGCUGAGUAGAUGACUUUCUCAAGCAAACUUUAUUAGAAAAUUAAGGAAGUGAAGAGAGUCAAUCUUGAAGUGGAAGAUUCUGAAGCUUAAUUAGCCAACAGUAACAUCUCCUUAAAGGAGCUGGGCAAAAUCUUUACUAUUAUGCAGACCUAUCAUUCCAGCAUAGCUGCCCUAGUUAGAGAUGUAAACUUGGUAGGCUAGGAUCUCUUGUAACCUUCUAAAGCCUUACCGAACUUACAUUGAUUUCUAUAAGGAGUACAACAUCUUGCCCAAAAGUUAAUGCAUAAGGGGUGGUCCUAGUUCCUGCCAUCUUGGAGGUUCUAUAAGCCCAAAGAGUAUCUCUCAACUUCUCAUGCCACCUUUCUGGGCUAUCUACCACCAUUAUCUUAAUGAAAUUCACCAAGAUAUUAUUGCUAGCUUGUGCUUGACCAUUGGAUUAGGGAUAAUAAGGGCUAGUUUGGACCAACUUUAUCUUAAACUUGUCUGCAAACUUUUAUACUUCUUUUGAGAUAAAUGAUGGCCCUCUAUCUGUAACAAUUGUCUCGGGCACUCCAUAUCUAUGUAGGAUCUUGGUCUCAAUGAACUUCUUCACAGCAACUGAAUUGAUGGUCUUUACAAUUAAAGCUUCUACCUAUUUAGUAAAGUGGUUAGUUGCCACAAUUAUGAAGGUGUGCCUCUUGCUAGAAGCCGUGUAUAUUUGCCCAAUAAAGUCCAUUGCCCACCCUCUAAAAGGCCAUGGUUUCAUUAUCAGAUUCAAAGGCACUGAUGGUAAAUACUGGAGGGUUCUAUGUCUCUAACAUUUUUCACACCGUCUAGCAUAGGUCUUACAAUCUUUUUCCAUAUCGGGCAAAAAGUAGCCAUACCUUCUCAGUAACCACCUCAUCUUUUUUCCAGCUUGAUGUGCUCCACAGAUUACUUCAUGUAUGAUAGGAGCAUAUUUAUGCGCCUUAGUUAGCUAGUUCUUAUGCAUUUCCAUGGUGUUUUCUUAGUUAAAGUAGUCUUUUAAGCUAGUUUUAUGUCUUUUCAGGUUUUAAGGGCAAAUCAUAUAAAAAGAUGCAUUUUGGAGCCUUUUGGAGCAAAAUGGAGCUUGGAAUGAAUGUCACCCCUCGGAGCAAUGCCCUCAACUAAUUGAGAAUGGAGGUUGGGAAAGUGCAAACGCCAUUGGUUUUCAAGAUCAAAAUCAACCCAGAAAUGAUCCAUUUUCUAAUACAUACAAUCCGGGAUGAAGGGAUCAUCCAAAUUUCAAAUGGCGAGAACCCCAACAAGGCCAACAACAAAGUACAUUUAGGCAACAACCCCCAGGUUUCUAUCAAAGGCCGUUUGCACCAACUCAACCCCAAGCACAACCUGCCCAAAACAAAUCAGGUUCUUCUAUUGAUAAUGAUCAUAUUUUUCAAUUACUAACUUCCUAGUUCACAACCUGCACAACCUGCACAACCUGCACAUUAAGCAUAUUUAUACGCCUUAGUUAGCUAGUUCUUAUGCAUUUCCAUGGUGUUUUCUUAGUUAAAGUAGUCUUUUAAGCUAGUUUUAUGUGUUUUCAGGUUUUAAGGGCAAAUCAUAUAAAAAGAUGCAUUUUGGAGCCUUUUAGAGCAAAAUGGAGAUUGGAAUGAAUGUCACAUAUUUGGAGCCAAGGUUUGGAUGAAUUUGAAGACUUGAAGAUGAUGAUUCCUACUUGAACAAGGUUUCCUAGUUGAAGUAGGAAAGUGCUUACAUGAAGAAGGAUUCCUAAUCGACGAAAGAUUCCUAGUUGAAGAUGGAUUCCUAGGAGAAUGAAAAUUCCUACUCAAACAAGGUUUCCUACUUGAAGUAGGAAAGUUAAACCUAAUUGGCCUUGAGUUUCAGCAACAAAUAAGUAUUCCAAGUCAAAGAAGGAAAAGGAAUCCAAAAAGAAGAAGGAUUGAUCAAGACAAGUUUCCCUAUUCCUAAUGUGCAAAGGUUUCAGCUACAAAGAGGAGUCCUAAACACUUUAGGACACCUUAGCCUUAUCUUAGAGGAGUGCCACAUCAAUUUCAGCAAGGAUAUCUAUUUUCCUGGCCUUGCAAGGCUUUCUAGAAGCCUUAUCCAUUGUUUCCCUUUGUUGCUGCAACUAUUUGACCUUUUCCCCUUUUAAUUCUGAUUUCUAAGCCUUUUUCCUUGUUGAUUUGGGUUAUCCAAGUCCAUAUAUGAUUACCCUAGGGUUUUAGGUGCCUAUAUAUACUCAUAUCUCAGCCCUAGCCGAAUUACCACCUCUCAUACACAUCAUUCACGCCAGAAACAUACACCCACUCUUUGUCGUGGCCUUCCACCACCAUUCUCUCUAAUUCCAGCCAAAAAUCAUCCCUUGGCGCACCAACCAUCAACCCUAACCACUACCACACUCUCCCUCAUCCAUUCUACACCAUUUAAUAACCCAAAACCUGUCCACAAACUCUAUGCCGCAGCAAGGAGGAAGGAGGAACUUCGUGGAUGCACUUGCUGUCCAAGUUGGAGUAUCUAGGUGUUUUCUUUCCUUGGAUUUCAAUGUUUAAACUUAUUUAUCUUUGCUUUGUGCGUAUGAGGAACUAAACCCCCCUUGCCUAGGGGGGAUUCGAAACCAUGUUUAUGCUUGCUAUAUGAUUUGAUUACUUCUAAUUGCGUUUCAUAAGUUGUGAAUUCAAUUUACUUAUCUAUAUGAAUUAAAACUGAUUUGUGUGUGUUGGUUGAGAGUGCACGCUUAAUUUUCAUGCAUAAGUUUGAUGCUGCUAGGAUAUAAGGGAAUUUCACCUAAUCGUUACGAACUUAUAUUCAAAAGUAGUAAAGGUUUGUGAUCACAAUCGUGUUAAGUAAAUUCUUGGCAUAAGUUUCAUGCAAUUCAUAGUAACGAGUGCCUCGCCAAUGCUUAUGAUUUUCAUAGAACUUAAUGAUCUUUGCUUGUAUCUUUGUUAUGCAAUUCAUGAAGGGAACUUGUGAGGAAUGCUUUGGGUUGUCGUAUGCAAUUCAUCCAAUUCGAUAACUUUAGGAAAAUCUGAGGGUUAAUUAGUGCAAUUCACGGUUAAUCUGGGGCGUUGGGAAUUCAUGGUUUAUUGAAAAGCAAUUGGAAAUCAUUUUGUAUGCAAGUGUGACAUGUGUAGAGAAGAACCCCUUAGCUAGCUUUUUAUCCAUUCACUUUUAUCAAAUUCGUUUUAAAAUCUGUUCAAGUUACAAAGUUUUUGUUUUGUUUUUAAUUUCGUCAAAACCAAUUCCCCCUUUAUUUUGUUGAGUCAUCUUAGUUAGAAAUCAAUUUAGUUUGUGUUUUUAAGUGUCUUGAGUCAAGUUAUAACCUAUUUUCGUCCAAAUUGUGUUUUGUAUUCAAAACUGCCCAGAAAGUGUUUUUAAGGCAGUUUUGACUGUUUCUGGGCUGUUUUGAGUCUUUUGGUUUGUUUUAAUGUUUUAGACUUUAGUUUUGCAUUCUUUAAGUCUAGUUUAGUGUUUAAACUUUGUUUUUACGUUUUGAGUCAGUUUUCAAGUGAUUUAGCAAUCCCUCCAAAUCCCCGGCCUAGAACGAUCCCUACUUACAUACUUUGCUACAAUUGAUAAAAAGAGGGUCUAAUUUGUGUGCUUAUAUAAUUCGCAUCAAUGUACUUCAGCCAUCACCCUCAUUAACUCUUCCAUGCCUAAGCUGUUGGAAAUGUGCCCUAAAACCAAUCAUGUGAUGAUACUUUACGGACAUUUCACAUGUUAAACUAAUCUAG